UGCCUAGGAAUCUGCCUGGUAGUGGGGGAUAACGUUCGGAAACGGACGCUAAUACCGCAUACGUCCUACGGGAGAAAGCAGGGGACCUUCGGGCCUUGCGCUAUCAGAUGAGCCUAGGUCGGAUUAGCUAGUUGGUGGGGUAAUGGCUCACCAAGGCGACGAUCCGUAACUGGUCUGAGAGGAUGAUCAGUCACACUGGAACUGAGACACGGUCCAGACUCCUACGGGAGGCAGCAGUGGGGAAUAUUGGACAAUGGGCGAAAGCCUGAUCCAGCCAUGCCGCGUGUGUGAAGAAGGUCUUCGGAUUGUAAAGCACUUUAAGUUGGGAGGAAGGGUUGUAGAUUAAUACUCUGCAAUUUUGACGUUACCGACAGAAUAAGCACCGGCUAACUCUGUGCCAGCAGCCGCGGUAAUACAGAGGGUGCAAGCGUUAAUCGGAAUUACUGGGCGUAAAGCGCGCGUAGGUGGUUUGUUAAGUUGGAUGUGAAAUCCCCGGGCUCAACCUGGGAACUGCAUUCAAAACUGACUGACUAGAGUAUGGUAGAGGGUGGUGGAAUUUCCUGUGUAGCGGUGAAAUGCGUAGAUAUAGGAAGGAACACCAGUGGCGAAGGCGACCACCUGGACUAAUACUGACACUGAGGUGCGAAAGCGUGGGGGAGCAAACAGGAUUAGAUACCCUGGUAGUCCACGCCGUAAACGAUGUCAACUAGCCGUUGGAAGCCUUGAGCUUUUAGUGGCGCAGCUAACGCAUUAAGUUGACCGCCUGGGGAGUACGGCCGCAAGGUUAAAACUCAAAUGAAUUGACGGGGGCCCGCACAAGCGGUGGAGCAUGUGGUUUAAUUCGAAGCAACGCGAAGAACCUUACCAGGCCUUGACAUCCAAUGAACUUUCUAGAGAUAGAUUGGUGCCUUCGGGAACAUUGAGACAGGUGCUGCAUGGCUGUCGUCAGCUCGUGUCGUGAGAUGUUGGGUUAAGUCCCGUAACGAGCGCAACCCUUGUCCUUAGUUACCAGCACGUAAUGGUGGGCACUCUAAGGAGACUGCCGGUGACAAACCGGAGGAAGGUGGGGAUGACGUCAAGUCAUCAUGGCCCUUACGGCCUGGGCUACACACGUGCUACAAUGGUCGGUACAGAGGGUUGCCAAGCCGCGAGGUGGAGCUAAUCCCAUAAAACCGAUCGUAGUCCGGAUCGCAGUCUGCAACUCGACUGCGUGAAGUCGGAAUCGCUAGUAAUCGCGAAUCAGAAUGUCGCGGUGAAUACGUUUUCGGGCCUUGUCCACCCCCCCCAUCACACCAAAGAACCCUUUUGACUUUUAUCCGGGCUCCA
rnacentral:rRNA from 1 species